UCGGUAAAGAUGGUUUUCUAGUAAAAUAAAUAGUAGUUUGAAAGUUUAAAUAUUCCCAUUUUUCUCUCAUACACCUAUCAUUUAGCUUCAGAAGACAUUGAUUCGUCAGCUUGGGUCGUUUGGAUUACCGUCGUGUUCACUUUGUGUGGUUUUUGAAGCUCAACUUCAGAGGUCCAUGCAUUGUAUGUACUCCGAUCUAAAACAAAUCUUCGUUUAUGUACAUCUGAAGAAAGUCAUACAUCUGGGACAGCUUGAGAAUGAGAAAAUGAUGAGAGAAUUUGGAGAGAAUUUUUUUUGAAAUAUAAACGAUUAGACGGAGGCUAUAACUUGCUUUAUUCAAACAGGCUAAAUAUUGAAGAACACGUUGAGUAAAAAUGAAUUGCAAAUAUAUUGCAUAUAUUUAGCAAAAUUCUCCUUUCUAGUGUAAAUUUUUUUCUAGCUAACGAGCUACUGUAUGGACACUGAAUGACUUCUUGAGCUAGGUUACUGGUAGGGUUGGGGGAACAGACUUCGACACAACUAAAAGAUUGAUUCUUGGGAUUUGUGAAUCGAUAUCGGUUCAUCAAAAUGAGAAUCGAUUAUUGCUUUUAGGACAAAUGGAGGGUAAAAACUGAAAGAAGUUGCUGUUCCAUCAGUUAAUUUGGAAGAAGAGGAACGGUCGGGGACCAACGUCUGCCUAUCUCCCCAAAGCAAAACACAGUCACAUAAAGAACACGGCAUUUUCCACUUUCCCUCCACCCCAGACUGCACACCUGAGAUCCACUCUCUCCCCCACCAGUGCAGGAACGGCCGGAGGCUCCAACAUCACCCUGAGCUCUGAGAGACACAGAGACAGAACACAGGUGAUCUGAAAUACAACAGGAGAAGGAGGAAGGACUCAUCUGUCAUUUUCAGCGUCACUGCAUUGCUUCUGGGUACUAUUUUGAAGCCGCUCUCUCCCCGCAACACAAAACACACCCAGUCCUUCGGAUCAUCGUCCACCUGCAGCACCAGGUUUCUUCCAUCGCCUUUGGUCAUCACAGCGCCACCUACAGAUGGUGAGAGCUGAGCGUGAGGCUCCAGCU